rnacentral:tRNA from 1 species
UAGCUCAGUCAAUAGAGCGUGGGGCUGAUAACACCAAGGUCGCGGGUUCUACCCCCGU